rnacentral:rRNA from 1 species
UAGGGAAUAUUGGUAAUCUGGGAAACCGGGAACCAGCAAAGCCGCGUGUGCGAUGAAGGCCUUCGGGUUGUAAAGCACUUUUUGAGGGGAUGAGGAAGGACAGUACACUCAGAAUAAGCCUCGGCUAACUACGUGCCAGCAGCCGCGGUAACACGUAGGAGGCGAGCGUUAUUCGGAUUUACUGGGCGUAAAGCGCGUGCAGGCGGCUCGAUGAGUUGGAUGUGAAAGCGCCCGGCGUAACUGGGAGAGGUCGUUCAAUACUGUAGGGCUAGAGGAUGAGAGAGGGAGGUGGAAUUCCGAGUGUAGUGGUGGAAUGCGUAGAUAUUCGGAGGAACACCAGUGGCGAAAGCGGCCUCCUGGCUCAUAUCUGACGCUCAGACGCGAAAGCUAGGGUAGCAAACG